rnacentral:lncRNA from 1 species
CAACCUUCAGUGACAAAUUUAGUCGUCACAGACAUGGUCACAAAUUUUGUCACUAAAUUUGUUAUUAAUUCCGUCACUGAUCUAGUGACAAGGUUAUCGUCACUAAUUUGUCACAACUCACUGAGCAUAAUCAAUUUUUAGUAAUCAAAAUUCUGUCACUAAAUUUAUGGCUGCUCGUCACAAUACUUGGUAAACAAUUCAGUAAGCAAAUUUAAUCACUGAUCACAUUCCAAUAAUCUAGUACAUUUGGUACAUUGAUUGGCUCAUAAUAAUAAUAAUAAUAUCAUUAAUAGCAAAGGCAUUCAACAUUACACAAGUUUUUUAACAUGUCAUUCAAAAUAGGCAUCAACAUGUCCUAAAUCCAUCAAAAUUAAAAUACAAAAAGUAUGUCAUAACAGAGAUUUCAUUCCUCCUAGGAAUGCAAAGACCUAUCAUCUAAGGCAAAAGAAAUUAUAAUGAAGCAUGAUCAGCAGAACCAGAAUCACCAUUACCCCCCGUUCUGCCGCCAUGGUCCAAAGCCAAUCUCUUCUCUCAUCUUUUGAAGAACCUUCUCUUGCCAUUUUUUCUUUUAGUGCUCAAAAAUACCUAGAAGGUCUUCACGCGAGUACAGCUCUGGAGCUUGACUUGUAGAGGUAGAAGAGGAUGAUGAUUGCCCAAUAAUUCCAGUGAGAUCCUCCAG